GGCGUGAACCCUAGAACUGGGGGAGAGAGAGAGAGAGAGAGAGAGAGAGGAAGCGAUGGGGAGAUCGAGCGGAGGCGGAGGGGAGAUGAUCUACUGCUAUUUUGUUCGUUGAUUAUUUUUCUGAGAUUUCUAUGUUCUUUGGAUUUUCUGAGAUGAUCGAUGCACGAAUCUUCUUCUUCUUAUUCUUCUUCUUCUUUAUUUUGAAGUUUUUGGGAGGUGAUUUGGGUUGACAGAAGAGAGUGAGCACGCAGCGGGGAGGACAUCAGCUGCGGUGACAUUGCUGUUGCGUGCUCGCUGCUCUGUCUGUCAUCCCGAUGAUCUCUGCGCCACCGGCGCCGCACAGUCACCAGCCGCCCAGAUCUGCGUCCUGUUUCUUGCUUCCAUGGAGAAAUGGGACGAGAGUAACAAGAUGUUGGCUCGAUCGAGCUUUAUUUUAUUCUAUUUUAUUUUAUCUUUUCGGUUUUGCCUUCGUCCUCGAGCUUUGGGAUGCAGCAGGCCACCAUUCAUCUUAUCCGAUGUCGGUUACCUUUAUCUUCCCCACUCUGUCCCGUCAGCUGGAGUCUUGUCCAAGUGGGUUUCCGAGGAGGCAACAGCAUGUGAUUACAGGGUGUACUUGUUUCUCGUCUCGAACGCUUCCUCAUUUUGGUUUUAUUUUACUCGAUUUAGACCAUAUUGGAACGAGAACCUGAAUAAAAAUGGUAAAAAUAACAUCUUCCUACUGAUUUAAGCCUGGAAGCGUGACUUCCGAGAUUAAUUUUUUUGCGGGGGUCGAAUCCUAGGCGAGUACUUUGCAUCGAUGAAUACCUACAUGUACCGCUUGCUUCUGCAUGCCAUCUUUUCGAAUUUAACGGAAUCACUGUUCUUCAUCUGUUUCUAUUUUUAUUCGUUUAAAAAAAAACAAUUCUUUUUACUUGCUGUGUUUCCCAUUUUAUUCUUCCUUGCAGGUUGAUUUCUAGAGCCCUCAUAUCUCCACCUCCACACUCUUAUUUGUUCCAAAUAUGUAGUCGAUCAUUUCUUUGUUGAUAUCUUCAUUUUGUGAUUCAAAAGGACCACCCUCGCCUUUAGUCCCAUUUGUCAGCAUCUUCUCGACAGAUAUGGUAAAGUGUGUUCGCCUUUAGUCCGUUCGUCAGUUUGUUUUUCUGUUGGGAAAGUGUGUUCUUUGACGACGAAGCUCCAAGAGGCCUUGUUGAGCGUGGCUUUGUUUCUUUCAUCUGGUAACUGAUAGAGUUACAUCCAUUAUUAAUGGACGAAUACACUCUGUGAACAGCUUCCAUCUAUCGAGAUCCUCUUGUUCUUACAAAAAAAGAUGUCAAAAGUUCAUGUAAUAUAUAGUGAAGAAAGUUAAGAAACAUCGAUAUCUCUCACUUUGAGGAGUUUUUCUAAUCGCUGAAUCGGCCAAGAUCUUGCAAGAUUGAAAAGAAACAAGAAAAAUCUUAUCUCAAUAUGAGAAUGAUGGCCGUACAAUAAUGGGGAAAGGAGGACGUGCAAGGGAGAAAAGAACACUAGAGGAGCUGCGAGAAUUUCUUGCCUAUGUGCGAGCCGACGAAAGGGAGAACGGAAGACAGUAAUUUAGGGUUUUCUAUUACUGCUGCUCUUCCGCCCCAGCCAAUCAACGCUAGCUGCUUGAGAUUAUCCGUCGCUUAGUACCUCCAGGAGCUUCUCUUCCCUACCGAUCGACACUGGUCGAUCGGUAGUCUUUGUCGAAGCUUCCCCGCCGACUUGAGCUCCUCCUUCCCAACCAACCGAUCGAGUCCACUUGAUGUUAAUUUCUCACCAAGGUCUGAAACUUUCUAUUUGAUGUAUACUUUACCUAUUAGCAAUGGCGGAUCUAGAAAUUCAAAUAUAGAGGGGUGAUUUACGUGGAACAAAGGACGGUAUCCUCUAUCUCUAUUAGUGAAAUCCCACGAUCCGUCCCUGCCUAUUAAGAUAACUGAACGAGGUGGAGUAUGAUCAAUUAUAUUUGUAACCAAUGAAAACUGUGUUUAUGUAAUAUAUGCUUUAUAUAUGUUAUAUAUGAGUUUUUAGGUUCACAUUAAAUAUUUAUACAAAAUUGCACAGGAUGAUUUAAUAUAA